rnacentral:rRNA from 1 species
UACGUAGGGUGCGAGCGUUAAUCGGAAUUACUGGGCGUAAAGCGUGCGCAGGCGGUUUUGUAAGCCAGAUGUGAAAUCCCCGGGCUUAACCUGGGAAUGGCAUUUGGGACUGCAAGGCUCGAGUGCGGCAGAGGGGGAUGGAAUUCCGCGUGUAGCAGUGAAAUGCGUAGAGAUCGGAAAGAACACCAACGGCGAAAGCACGUCUG